rnacentral:pre_miRNA from 10 species
GAGGUUUGCCUGAGGUGUAGGACUUAGCUCGCUUUGUGAACAGUUGAGUAGAAAGAUAAUGUUCACAGUGGCUAAGUUCCGCACUUCACAAGC